rnacentral:rRNA from 1 species
CCUACGGGGCGCAGCAGUGAGGAAUAUUGGUCAAUGGACGAGAGUCUGAACCAGCCAAGUAGCGUGAAGGAUGACUGCCCUAUGGGUUGUAAACUUCUUUUAUAUGGGAAUAAAAUGUUCCACGUGUGGGAUUUUGUAUGUACCAUAUGAAUAAGGAUCGGCUAACUCCGUGCCAGCAGCCGCGGUAAUACGGAGGAUCCGAGCGUUAUCCGGAUUUAUUGGGUUUAAAGGGAGCGUAGGUGGAUUGUUAAGUCAGUUGUGAAAGUUUGCGGCUCAACCGUAAAAUUGCAGUUGAAACUGGCAGUCUUGAGUACAGUAGAGGUGGGCGGAAUUCGUGGUGUAGCGGUGAAAUGCUUAGAUAUCACGAAGAACUCCGAUUGCGAAGGCAGUUCACUGGACUGCAACUGACACUGAUGCUCGAAAGUGUGGGUAUCAAACAGGAUUAGAUACCCGGGUAGUC